rnacentral:rRNA from 1 species
UACAGAGGGUGCAAGCGUUAAUCGGAAUUACUGGGCGUAAAGCGUGCGCAGACGGUUGCGUAAGUCAGAUGUGAAAGCCCCGGGCUCAACCUGGGAAUUGCAUUUGAGACUGCGUAGCUAGGGUGCGGAAGAGGGAAGCGGAAUUUCCGGUGUAGCGGUGAAAUGCGCAGAUAUCGGGAAGAACACCCGUGGCUAAGGCGGCUCUCUAGUACGGUACUGACGCUGAGACGCGAAAGCGUGGGGAGCGAACAGG